rnacentral:rRNA from 1 species
AUUGAACGCUGGCGGCAUGCUUUACACAUGCAAGUCGAACGGUAACAGGCCUUCGGGUGCUGACGAGUGGCGAACGGGUGAGUAAUGCGUCGUAACGUACCCAGAGGUGGGGGAUAACGCAGCGAAAGCUGUGCUAAUACCGCAGGUGAUCUGAGGAUGAACGCGGGGGACCGAGCAGCAAUGUUUGGCCUCGCGCCUUUGGAGCGGCCGAUGUCGGAUUAGCUAGGUGGGGGGGUAAAGGCCUACCAAGGCGACGAUCCGUAUGUGGUCUGACAGGACGACCCGCCAGACUGGGAGUGAGGCAGGGCAGAGACUCCGACGGGAGGCAGCAGUGGGGAAUCUUGCAGAAUGGGGGAAAGGCUGAUACAGGAAUGCCGCGGACGGGAAGAACGACUUCGGCUUGGAAACCGAUUUUGGCAGGAGCGAAGCAGUGUCCGUUAAUACCGGACGCUAAUGACGGUACCUGCAGAAUAAGCACCGGCUAACUCCGUG